UACGAAGGGGGGCUAGCGUUGCUCGGAAUCACUGGGCGUAAAGGGCGCGUAGGCGGCGCACCAAGUCAGGCGUGAAAGCCCUGGGCUCAACCCGGGAAUUGCGCUUGAGACUGGUGUGCUCGAGUACGGGAGAGGAUAGUGGAAUUCCCAGUGUAGAGGUGAAAUUCGUAGAUAUUGGGAAGAACACCGGUGGCGAAGGCGGCUAUCUGGACCGUAACUGACGCUGAGGCGCGAAAGCGUGGGGAGCAAACAGG
rnacentral:rRNA from 1 species